GGGUAUAGCUCAGUGGAAGGGCACCUGCUUAGCACGCACCAGGUCCUGGGUUUAAUCCCCAGUAUUUCCA
rnacentral:tRNA from 1 species